AUGACGCCAAGGCCGUCAUUGAACGCGCACACCUCGGCGCCUCUUGUUCUAAGUUCAACCAGGCCUGUCAUCAUAAACUCAAAAGCCGCCGGGUUCCUGUCCCCCAUAUUUGCAACCUCCAGGGCAGUGAUGUACAGAGCAGAAUGCCUGAAAGUGGGCGCAUCCGGCGGACCAUGUCUUGUUGAUAGUGCUUCAGAUGCGAUGGCAGGUUGUCUCUGCCGUGUAUGCUCCACCUUUUCAGUAUAUGCCUCGAAGGUAUCUGCUUUAGGCGUAGUAGAACCAUCACCUGCUCAUCAUGAAGGCAAUUGUGAAGUUGUCGAAAAUAAAGCACCUAUCAAUGUAUAUUGA
rnacentral:rRNA from 1 species